ACUCCUACGGGAGGCAGCAGUGGGGAAUAUUGGACAAUGGGCGAAAGCCUGAUCCAGCCAUGCCGCGUGUGUGAAGAAGGUCUUCGGAUUGUAAAGCACUUUAAAGUUGGGAGGAAGGGCAGUUACCUAAUACGUGAUUGUUUUGACGUUACCGACAGAAUAAGCACCGGCUAACUCUGUGCCAGCAGCCGCGGUAAUACAGAGGGUGCAAGCGUUAAUCGGAAUUACUGGGCGUAAAGCGCGCGUAGGUGGUUAGUUAAGUUGGAUGUGAAAUCCCCGGGGCUCAACCUGGGAACUGCAUUCAAAACUGACUGACUAGAGUAUGGUAGAGGGUGGUGGAAUUUCCUGUGUAGCGGUGAAAUGCGUAGAUAUAGGAAGGAACACCAGUGGCGAAGGCGACCACCUGGACUGAUACUGACACUGAGGUGCGAAAGCGUGGGGAGCAAACAGGAUUAGAUA
rnacentral:rRNA from 1 species